rnacentral:rRNA from 1 species
GACGAACGCUGGCGGCGUGCCUAAUACAUGCAAGUUGAGCGAUGAAGAUUGGUGCUUGCACCAAUUUGAAGAGCAGCGAACGGGUGAGUAACGCGUGGGGAAUCUGCCUUUGAGCGGGGGACAACAUUUGGAAACGAAUGCUAAUACCGCAUAAUAACUUUAAACAUAAGUUUUAAGUUUGAAAGAUGCAAUUGCAUCACUCAAAGAUGAUCCCGCGUUGUAUUAGCUAGUUGGUGAGGUAAAGGCUCACCAAGGCGAUGAUACAUAGCCGACCUGAGAGGGUGAUCGGCCACAUUGGGACGGAGACACGGCCCAAACUCCUACGGGAGGCAGCAGUAGGGAAGCAUCGGCAAUGGACGAAAGUCUGACCGAGCAACGCCGCGUGAGUGAAGACGGUUUUCGGAUCGUAAAACUCUGUUGGUAGAGAAGAACGUUGGUGAGAGUGGAAAGCUCAUCAAGUGACGGUAACUACCCAGAAAGGGACGGCUAACUACGUG